CCGCGCGUAGCUCAACGGCAGAGCAGGGGCCUCUUAAGCCCAAGGUUGGAGGUUCGAAUCCUCCCGCGCGGA
rnacentral:tRNA from 1 species